GAUGAACGCUAGCUACAGGCUUAACACAUGCAAGUCGAGGGGCAGCAUGGUCUUAGCUUGCUAAGGCCGAUGGCGACCGGCGCACGGGUGAGUAACACGUAUCCAACCUGCCGUCUACUCUUGGACAGCCUUCUGAAAGGAAGAUUAAUACAAGAUGGCAUCAUGAGUCCACAUGUUCACAUGAUUAAAGGUAUUCCGGUAGACGAUGGGGAUGCGUUCCAUUAGAUAGUAGGCGGGGUAACGGCCCACCUAGUCUUCGAUGGAUAGGGGUUCUGAGAGGAAGGUCCCCCACAUUGGAACUGAGACACGGUCCAAACUCCUACGGGAGGCAGCAGUGAGGAAUAUUGGUCAAUGGGCGAGAGCCUGAACCAGCCAAGUAGCGUGAAGGAUGACUGCCCUAUGGGUUGUAAACUUCUUUUAUAAAGGAAUAAAGUCGGGUAUGCAUACCCGUUUGCAUGUACUUUAUGAAUAAGGAUCGGCUAACUCCGUGCCAGCAGCCGCGGUAAUACGGAGGAUCCGAGCGUUAUCCGGAUUUAUUGGGUUUAAAGGGAGCGUAGAUGGAUGUUUAAGUCAGUUGUGAAAGUUUGCGGCCCAACCGUAAAAUUGCAGUUGAUACUGGAUAUCUUGAGUGCAGUUGAGGCAGGCGGAAUUCGUGGUGUAGCGGUGAAAUGCUUAGAUAUCACGAAGAACUCCGAUUGCGAAGGCAGCCUGCUAAGCUGCAACUGACAUUGAGGCUCGAAAGUGUGGGUAUCAAACAGGAUUAGAUACCCUGGUAGUCCACACGGUAAACGAUGAAUACUCGCUGUUUGCGAUAUACGGCAAGCGGCCAAGCGAAAGCGUUAAGUAUUCCACCUGGGGAGUACGCCGGCAACGGUGAAACUCAAAGGAAUUGACGGGGGCCCGCACAAGCGGAGGAACAUGUGGUUUAAUUCGAUGAUACGCGAGGAACCUUACCCGGGCUUAAAUUGCAGAUGAAUUACGGUGAAAGCCGUAAGCCGCAAGGCAUCUGUGAAGGUGCUGCAUGGUUGUCGUCAGCCCAUGCCGUGAGGUGUCGGCUUAAGUGCCAUAACGAGCGCAACCCUUGUUGUCAGUUACUAACAGGUUCCGCUGAGGACUCUGACAAGACUGCCAUCGUAAGAUGUGAGGAAGGUGGGGAUGACGUCAAAUCAGCACGGCCCUUACGUCCGGGGCUACACACGUGUUACAAUGGGGGGUACAGAGGGCCGCUACCACGCGAGUGGAUGCCAAUCCCCAAAACCUCUCUCAGUUCGGACUGGAGUCUGCAACCCGACUCCACGAAGCUGGAUUCGCUAGUAAUCGCGCAUCAGCCACGGCGCGGUGAAUACGUUCCCGGGCCUUGUACACACCGCCCGUCAAGCCAUGGGAGCCGGGGGUACCUGAAGUGCGUAACCGCGAGGAGCGCCCUAGGGUAAAACUGGUG
rnacentral:rRNA from 1 species